AGCGAACGCUGGCGGCAGGCCUAACACAUGCAAGUCGAGCGCCCAGCAAUGGGAGCGGCAGACGGGAUAGUAACACGUGGGAACGUACCUUUCAGUUCGGAACAACCCAGGGAAACUUGGGCUAAUACCGAAUACGUCCGUAAGGAGAAAGAUUUAUCGCUGAAAGAUCGGCCCGCGUCUGAUUAGCUAGUUGGUGAGGUAAUGGCUCACCAAGGCGACGAUCAGUAGCNGGUCUGAGAGGAUGAUCAGCAUCACUGGGACUGAGACACGGCCCAGACUCCUACGGGAGGCAGCAGUGGGGAAUAUUGGACGAUGGGCGCAAGCCUGAUCCAGCCAUGCCGCGUGGAUGAUGAAGGCCUUAGGGUGUAAAGUCCUUUCGGCGGGGAAGAUAAUGACGGUACCCGCAGAAGAAGCCCCGGCUAACUUCGUGCCAGCCGCCGCUGUAAU
rnacentral:rRNA from 1 species